rnacentral:rRNA from 1 species
AUUGAACGCUGGCGGCAUGCUUUACACAUGCAAGUCGAACGGUAACAGGGAGCUUGCUCCGCUGACGAGUGGCGAACGGGUGAGUAAUGCGUCGGAACGUGCCGAGUAGUGGGGGAUAACGCAGCGAAAGUUGUGCUAAUACCGCAUACGUACUGAGGUAGAAAGUGGGGGACCUUCGGGCCUCACGCUAUUCGAGCGGCCGACGUCUGAUUAGCUAGUAGGUGAGGUAAGAGCUCACCAAGCCAACGAUCUGUAGCUGGUCUGAGAGGACGACCAGCCACACUGGAACUGAGACACGGUCCAGACUCCUACGGGAGGCAGCAGUGGGGAAUUUUGGACAAUGGACGAAAGUCUGAUCCAGCCAUUCCGCGUGCAGGAUGAAGGCCCUCGGGUUGUAAACUGCUUUGUACCUAGGGAGUGAUAAUGACAGUACCUGGAGAAUAAGCUCCGGCUAACUCCGUGCCAGCAGCCGCGAU